UACGGGGGGGGUAAACGUUGUUCGGAAUUACUGGGCGUAAAGGGCUCGUAGGCGGCCAACUAAGUCAUACGUGAAAUCCCUCAGCUUAACUGGGGAACUGCGUGUGAUACUGGAUGGCUUGGAUUUGGGAGAGGGAUGCGGAAUUCCAGGUGUAGCGGUGAAAUGCGUAGAUAUCUGGAGGAACACCGGUGGCGAAGGCGGCAUCCUGGACCAAUAUUGACGCUGAGGAGCGAAAGCCAGGGGAGCAAACGGG
rnacentral:rRNA from 1 species